UACGUAGGGUGCGAGCGUUGUCCGGAAUUAUUGGGCGUAAAGAGCUCGUAGGCGGUCUGUCGCGUCGGUCGUGAAAACUUGGGGCUUAACCCUGAGCUUGCGGUCGAUACGGGCAUGACUGGAGUUCGGUAGGGGAGACUGGGAUUCCUGGUGUAGCGGUGAAAUGCGCAGAUAUCAGGAGGAACACCGGUGGCGAAGGCGGGUCUCUGGGCCGAUACUGACGCUGAGGAGCGAAAGCGUGGGGAGCGAACAGG
rnacentral:rRNA from 1 species